ACCCCCUUAGUAUCUAAUGUAUAAGCGGCUUCCAACCACUAGGUCUUAGUAUUAUCAAAUCUAAGAGGGGGUA
rnacentral:tRNA from 1 species